rnacentral:rRNA from 1 species
CAGUAGCCGCGGUAAUACGUAGGGUGCGAGCGUUAAUCGGAAUUACUGGGCGUAAAGGGCGCGUAGGUGGUUAUGUAAGUGAGAUGUGAAAUCCCCGGGCUCAACCUGGGAACUGCAUCUUAUACUGCGUAGCUGGAGUGCAGUAGAGGGUAGUGGAAUUUCCGGUGUAGCGGUGAAAUGCGUAGAUAUCGGAAGGAACACCAGUGGCGAAGGCGGCUACCUGGACUGACACUGACACUGAGGCGCGAAAGCGUGGGGAGCAAACAGGAUUAGAUACCCCUGUAGUCCCUGUCUCUUAUAC